rnacentral:rRNA from 1 species
GACGAACGCUGGCGGCGUGCUUAACACAUGCAAGUCGAACGGAAAGGUCUGCUUUCCCUUGUGGCUUGCGGGUACUCGAGUGGCGAACGGGUGAGUAACACGUGAGUGAUCUGGCCCCAACUUGGGUAUAAGCCUGGGAAACUGGGUCUAAUUCCCGAUAGGACUGCAGGGUGGUGCCUGUGGUGGAACACGAUGUUCUAGUGGUUGGGGAUGAGCUCGCGGCCUAUCAGCUUGUUGGUGGGGUAAUGGCCUAACAAGGCGGCGACGGGUAGCCGGCGUGACAGUGUGUAGCUCGACAGUGAGAAUGAGCUGCGACCCUGGGUCCGACGGGCGGCAGCAGUGCGGACGGGUGGCAGAUGUGGGGAAGCCUGAGGCAGCGGCGCAGGGUGGACGCUGCCGGGCUUCGUGAUGUAUGCAGGUUUCGAGCGCGAGGAAGUCUUCUGGCUGGGAGGGUGGUGACGGUAGCGGGAGAAGAAGCCCCGGCUAACUACGUG